GUCCCCCUUCGUCUAGAGGCCCGGGGACACCGCCCUUUCACGGCGGUAACAGGGGGUUCGAAUCCCCCUAGGGGACGCCA
rnacentral:tRNA from 1 species